GUUUAUUUGGAGUUAUAUAUAAUUUGGCCUGCCCCCUGAUUAUUAAUUAAAGGGCCGCAGUAUUAUAACUGUGCAAAGGUAGCAUAAUCAUUAGGUUUUUAAUUGAAAUCUCGUAUGAAUGGUCGGACAAAAGAAAAGCUCUCUUUAUAUUAAUUUUUGAAUUUAACUUUUAAGUGAAAAGGCUUAAAUAUACUAAAGGGACGAUAAGACCCUAUAAAACUUUACAUUGUAAUUAUAUUUUAGUGAAUUUAUAAAUAAAGAUUAAAUUUGAUUAUUUGUUAGGCUGGGGAGGUACGAAUAAAUAUUAUUUUAACUGUUUGAUGAUUAUACAAUAUUAAUGGGUAAGUAAAAGAUCCUUAUUUCAAGAUUAAUAGAUUAAGUUACUUUAGGGAUAACAGCGUAAUUUCUUUUGAGAGUUCUUAUCGAAAGAGAAGAUUGCGACCUCGAUGUUGAAUUAAAAUAUUCUAUAUAAUGAAGAGGUUAUAUAAGAAGGUCUGUUCGACCUUUAAAAUUUUACAUGAUUUGAGUUCAAACCGGUGUGAG
rnacentral:rRNA from 1 species